rnacentral:tRNA from 1 species
GGGGGGAUACUCAAGCGGCCAACGAGGGCAGACUGUAAAUCUGCUGACCAUGUCUUCGCAGGUUCGAAUCCUGCUCCCCCCA